GGGGCGUGUGAGUGGUGUUUGGAUCGUCUCUGCCGGCUGGCUCCGUGCUCGUCCACCGAACGGUCGGCAGGCGAUCCGCGUCGGUUGUUGCAAGGCGGGAUGGUGCCUCAGAGGCUGGUUCUUGUGUCGCCUACCCCUUCAAGGGAAGCAGGCCUCAUGACGGUCGGCCUCCAUCCGGCGCCUUCCAACGGGCGCAGGAGGACAACGAAGCACCCCCCGUGUUCCACCGGGCCUUGAAGGGUCGAGUGGCCCACGGGGGCGUGCGAUGCUCUCGGACCCAGCUUGCGAUGCUCUCGCGGACGAGGACUCACGUCCCGGUCCCAAGAGAAGCUUAGACAUAUAACGAUGAAUGACGGCCGCUCCCUCGCCCCCCGGCCGCCUCGGCGGUGCGAGGGGGGGACGCGCGACGUCUCGGAGGACUGCUACCUGGUUGAUCCUGCCAGUAGUCAUAUGCUUGUCU
rnacentral:misc_RNA from 1 species